rfam:Schistosoma mattheei strain Denwood, Zambia genome assembly, scaffold: SMTD_scaffold0022512
AUCUAGCUGACGAGCCCCAGGCAGGACGAAACGCGCGUCCUGGGU